rnacentral:rRNA from 1 species
AUUACAGGCGAAGAAGGACGUGCAAGCCUGCGAAAAGCUCUGGGGAGCUGGCAAUGAAGCUUUGAUCCAGAGAUGUCCGAAUCGGGGAAACCCACUCCGUAAGGAGUAUCCCACACUGAAUACAUAGGUGUGAGGAAGCGAACCCGGUGAACUGAAACAUCUAAGUAGCCGGAGGAAAAGAAAUCAACCGAGAUUCCCAAAGUAGUGGCGAGCGAAAUGGGAGCAGCCUGCAAGUGAUAGCAGAUUCGUUAGUGGAAGCCUCUGGAAAGUGGCGCCGUAGUGGGUGAUAGCCCCGUACGCGAAAACGAGACUGUGGUACUGAGCUUGCGAAAAGUAGGGCGGGGCACGUGAAACCCUGUCUGAACAUGGGGGGACCAUCCUCCAAGGCUAAAUACUCGUAAUCGACCGAUAGUGAACCAGUACCGUGAGGGAAAGGCGAAAAGAACCCCGGGAGGGGAGUGAAAUAGAUCCUGAAACCGCAUGCAUACAAACAGUGGGAGCCUCGCAAGGGGUGACUGCGUACCUUUUGUAUAAUGGGUC